AUUGAACGCUGGCGGCAGGCCUAACACAUGCAAGUCGAGCGAGCGGCGGACGGGUGAGUAAUGUCUGGGGACUGCCCGAUAGAGGGGGAUAACUACUGGAAACGGUAGCUAAUACCGCAUACUAUCGGAUAACCCAUAUGGGAUUAGCUAGUAGGUGAGGUAAUGGCUCACCUAGGCGACGAUCCCUAGCUGGUCUGAGAGGAUGAUCAGCCACACUGGGACUGAGACACGGCCCAGACUCCUACGGAGGCAGCAGUGGGGAAUAUUGCACAAUGGGCGCAAGCCUGAUGCAGCCAUGUCGUGUGUAUGAAGAAGGCCAUAGGGUUGUAAACCACUUUAAUUGGGGAGGCUUUAGCCACAGAACAAGCACCGUCUAACUUCGUGCCAGCAGCCGCGGUAAUUC
rnacentral:rRNA from 1 species